UUCCCUCACAAACUUAACCAUAUUUUGGUUAAGUGAGUGGAUGUGGCAGUUGGACUGAACAAGUCCAUCUGCUGAAGCCUUGCGAACACUUUGCAAAGCCUUUACUGGUAAGGCCAAGCUGUUUAAGUACCUUUCAAUGGGGUUAACUUCUUCGGAAUUUAACUCGUAUAAAGCUCUUCAUAAACAAGCAUGGCGUAUAGAGUAAAGGUGCCUUUGCUGUUAAGGCCAAGCUGUUUAAGUACCUUUCAAUGGGGUUAACUUCUUCGGAAUUUAACUCGUAUAAAGCUCUUCAUAAACAUGCAUGGCGUAUAGAGCAACGGCGAAUGCUUGCUGUUAAGGCCAAUCUGUUUAAGUACCUUUCAAUGGGGUUAACUUCUUCGGAAUUUAACUCGUAUAAAGCUCUUCUUAAACAUGAAUGGUGUAUAGAGCAAUGCAGCGCAAAGAUGUUUUAACUAAGGAAACUUACUCAAACUUC
rnacentral:misc_RNA from 1 species